rnacentral:rRNA from 1 species
GGAGCUUGCUCCCGGAUGUUAGCGGCGGACGGGUGAGUAACACGUGGGUAACCUGCCUGUAAGACUGGGAUAACUCCGGGAAACCGGAGCUAAUACCGGAUAGUUCCUUGAACCGCAUGGUUCAAGGAUGAAAGACGGUUUCGGCUGUCACUUACAGAUGGACCCGCGGCGCAUUAGCUAGUUGGUGGGGUAAUGGCUCACCAAGGCGACGAUGCGUAGCCCACCUGAGAGGGUGAUCGGCCACACUGGGACUGAGACACGGCCCAGACUCCUACGGGAGGCAGCAGUAGGGAAUCUUCCGCAAUGGACGAAAGUCUGACGGAGCAACGCCGCGUGAGUGAUGAAGGUUUUCGGAUCGUAAAGCUCUGUUGUUAGGGAAGAACAAGUGCGAGAGUAACUGCUCGCACCUUGACGGUACCUAACCAGAAAGCCACGGCUAACUACGUGCCAGCAGCCGCGGUAAUACGUAGGUGGCAAGCGUUGUCCGGAAUUAUUGGGCGUAAAGGGCUCGCAGGCGGUUUCUUAAGUCUGAUGUGAAAGCCCCCGGCUCAACCGGGGAGGGUCAUUGGAAACUGGGAAACUUGAGUGCAGAAGAGGAGAGUGGAAUUCCACGUGUAGCGGUGAAAUGCGUAGAGAUGUGGAGGAACACCAGUGGCGAAGGCGACUCUCUGGUCUGUAACUGAC